rnacentral:rRNA from 1 species
UACGAAGGGGGCUAGCGUUGUUCGGAAUUACUGGGCGUAAAGCGCGCGCAGGCGGUUUCUCAAGUCAGUGGUGAAAGCCCGGAGCUCAACUCCAGAACUGCCUUCGAUACUGGCGAUCUUGAGUCCGGAAGAGGUGAGUGGAACUCCUAGUGUAGAGGUGGAAUUCGUAGAUAUUGGGAAGAACACCAGUGGCGAAGGCGGCUCACUGGUCCGGUACUGACGCUGAGGUGCGAAAGCGUGGGGAGCAAACAGG